CAACACACGAAAAGACCGGACAGAGACAGACUCAGGGUCGUGAUAAGGAAAAAGAGGGAGAAGGAAAAAAAAAAGAAAGAUUGACUAGAGUAUAAAGAAUUUCGCAGACGGUAAGGAAUUCAUCCACAGGAAAGAAGUUCCAAUUGUACCACUUACUCCUUUCUCUGGGUUAUCAUUAAGCAAAAUCUAUGUAUUGUUAUCCGAAAACCAAUCUUGAAGGAUUCUAUACCGAUCGUAUACAUCAAUGUGAAAGUACUCGACUAUGAGAUAACGGGCAAUGCGUGACAAGCUAAUGGAACAACCUGUACAACUUUGUACAGUUUAAGCAGCUGGAAUUAAACUGGGUGGGGUGCGAGAAUCUCACACUUGUUGCAGGUCUCUUCUCCCAGCCUGAGCCAAUUUUUCUCGUGAACGUCUUACGUGAGGAGCUUGCAAGAGCUGCUACUACUUUUUACGGUUGUGGAGAUAACCGGGAGCCAAGUGCCUCAUCGGCGACGUGUCCACCGGUCUAAGAUCUCUUCUCCACGUAGACCUAGACACGUGGCGAGUGGUAAGUAUCGAAGAAGGUGUAGAUGGAGGAGGGAAGAGGACACUUGGAAAACCUUGCGCCACCUUCGAACGUUACGUCAUCCUGCAGCGACGGAGACGGCGACCGCUUCUCGUCGAGAUCCUGGAUAGCUCACCAGGCCGCUCCGGUGUUGCAGAAGAAUGCCGUGUAAUGAUGCUGCGCUCACGGCGGGACGCUCCUGCACAUCCGGGACGAAGGCUGCCUCUGACUCUACCAUUUGAGCCUCCGCCACCUCCACCGACCACUCGCUGCAGUCCUCUUGCAAUGACUCGGGGACUGAACUGAUUGUGAGAGCAAAAGCAGGGAAUGAGUCUUCUGCGAGAGAGGAUUGGACCGAAAGAGGAGGCUGUGCAUCAUCAUAGGCAUAUACAAGCAGAAACCGGAAAUACUUGGAGGAUGAAAGGAUGUUUGCAUUCCUGUUGAUCUUGCUGGGCAUAGACAGUGGAAGCGAUUGCUCGGAGGCACCUUCAAGAAUCCAAAUGAUUUAUGGGUUACGGCGAUAAGGGGUCGCCGUCAGCGUCGUCAUGUAAUCGACGACGUAAACCACGACGAUCUCACCACGGAUCGCUCGUCCACGGAAAGCCACGUUGAGUCGCGUGAUCGAUCGCGACAGAAUCGAGGUGAAAUGAAGUUUCUUCGAGCGUUGUUUGGAUUUCGAAUGUUUCCACCGGGCGUCGGGACGUCGACGCGUCGGCGUCUUUGCGGUUUGCUGCGAUUUCUAAUUGGGCAAUGCAAUUUCCUUCCUUCGCUUGACUCCGCGAGAAAUUCCACGUUGCGCAGUAACCGUCUCGGUCGUGUGUAUUGCUCCACCGGGCGCCGCACGGCUUCGCGCUCUUUGAAACGCGCAAAAGGAAAUGUAUCUUUGAAGAAAAGUAAGAAGGAGCGCAGGUAAUCUUCGAUAGCAAUAGAUCAGCAAGUGAUACAGUUAAGCUACGAAUAUACAAGCUGAUAUCAAACGUGACAAAAAUUUUAUUUAGCUUCCUAAUAUUUCAAAGAUAAACCCGAAACGUCACUUAUCUUAAAAUCAUAUCGCUAAAGAAUUGUGUUCGCUGAUAGAAUUUGAUACUAUCUGUAAUUCAAAAGCCACAUUGAAAUAGUUAAA